UACAGAGGUCUCAAGCGUUGUUCGGAUUCAUUGGGCGUAAAGGGUGCGUAGGUGGCGGGGUAAGUCAGGUGUGAAAUCCCGGGGCUCAACCUCGGAACUGCCUUUGAUACUGCAAAUCUCGAGUCCGGAAGAGGAGAGUGGAAUUCCUGGUGUAGCGGUGAAAUGCGCAGAUAUCAGGAAGAACACCCGUGGCGAAGGCGGCUCUCUGGGACGGUACUGACGCUGAGACGCGAAAGCGUGGGGAGCGAACAGG
rnacentral:rRNA from 1 species